GGGAUUUUCCAGGUGCGCUGUCGCUCCCCACUCAUCUCGCUGAAAUUUAUCCGCAUCUCCAGAAUCGCUGCCCCCUUUUUUCUCGGGAUAAUGUUCGUGACCUCUGGAGCUCUUUGUGUCGUUGCUGAGAAAACCCCCCAGAGGAAUAUGAUACAAGCUUGUCUCUGGGUUGGCCUCUCUGCGCUGGUCCUCUCCCUGGUGGCGGCUGUUCUUUAUUCUGUCGCCUUAAACGAUAUAAGAUCUAAGGCAGAAGAAACUUUUGUGAUAUUUGAAAUGGUCAGAUCCCUCAAUGUGAGAGUCCUGCAUUUACACUAGACUGGAAUUAUCACUAGACUGGGCUGGAAUUACAUUGUAACUGCAGUUUAAUAUCACUGGACUGGACUGGAAUUA